UACGUAGGGGGCAAGCGUUGUCCGGAAUUAUUGGGCGUAAAGCGCGUGCAGGCGGCUUCUUAAGUCGGGUGUUUAAGACCGGGGCUCAACCCCGGCUCGCACCCGAAACUGGGAAGCUUGAGUGUAGGAGAGGAAAGUGGAAUUCCACGUGUAGCGGUGAAAUGCGUAGAGAUGUGGAGGAACACCAGUGGCGAAGGCGACUUUCUGGCCUAUAACUGACGCUGAGGCGCGAAAGCGUGGGGAGCAAACAGG
rnacentral:rRNA from 1 species